rnacentral:rRNA from 1 species
GACGAACGUUGGCGGCGUGCUUAAUACAUGCAAGUCGACUGAAGCAGCGGUAGCAAUAUCGCUGUGGAGGUGGCGCCCGGGUGAGUAACACGUAGGUAAUCUGCCUUCAGGUCUGGCUUAACUCCGGGAAACCGGGGCUAAUAGCAGAUGAUGCAGCGGCUCGACAUCGAGACGGUUGGUAAAUCUAUGGCGGCUGGAGAUGAGCGUGCGUCUGCUUAGCUGGUUGGCGGGGUCACGGCCGACCAAGGCAACGAUCAGUGGCUGGUCUGAUGGGAUGAUCAGCCACAGUGGAACUGAGACACGGCCCAGACACCGACGGGAGGCAGAAGUAAGGAAGAUUGCGCAAAGGGAGAAAUACUGAAGCAGCAACGCCGCGUGAGGGCCGAAGGGCUUUUGCUUGUAAACCUGUGGAGUGAGAGAAAAAAAUCCCAAUCAGUGGGACAUGAUGGUACCUAAAAAGUAAGCCCCGGCUAACUACGUG